UGACCGAGAGCUCCACGGGAAUCUCCAGUCCGCCCUUUUUCAGACCGGUCAAUUCUAUGCACUCCCAGUAUUCCAGCUGCCGAUCUCCGGUGGUGAUGUAGGUCUUCAAUGAAGCCUGGUGAACAUGUUGCAGGUAUUCGGGCAUCAGCGCGGUGAGCUUCUGGCCCAGGAGCUCCUCGGACCCAUGUCCGAAUAUUCUCUCGGCGGCGCGAUUCACAGAAAUGAUCGCGCUCUCUUGAUCGGUCGUAAUGAUUGCGUCUGUGGCGGUCUCGGCGACAUUGCGGUAGUGUUCCUCGCUCUCGCGAAGUUUCUCCUCCGCUCUCUUCUGCUCGGCGAUAUCCCGAGCUAUCGUGGAAGCGCCAAUGAUCUUGCCGGCGGAAUCCUGGAUGGGAGAUACAGUCAUAGAAACAUGAAUCGGAUCUCCGUCUUUGUGCAAACGCACGGUUUCAUAAUGCGCUUCGCUGUCCCCCCGGCGGAUCCGAUCGAGAAUCCGGCUCACCUCACCUGUGCGAUCAGCCGGGACUAUGAUACUUAUGUGCCGUCCUAUGGCCUCCACCGCAGAGUAACCAAACAGCCUUUCUGCUCCAGGGUUCCACGUCGAUAUGGUGCCAUCCAGUGUCUUGCCGAUGAUGGAUUCACUGGAGGACUCCACAAUGGCCGCGAGUCGCAGGAGCGACUCCUGGGCCCGCUUGCGCUCGGUGAUGUCGCGAACGAUGCACGUAAAAACGUGCUUCUCGUUCUUGGUAAAUCUGCUGACCGAGAGUUCCACCGGAAUCUCCAGUCCGCCUUUUUUCAGACCGGUCAAUUCUAUGCACUCCCAGUACUCGAGUUGCCGAUCUCCAGUGGUGAUGUGGGUUUUCAGGGAGGCCUGGUGAACAUGGCGCAGGUAUUCGGGCAUCAGCGCGGUGAGCUUUUGGCCCAGGAGUUCCUCGGAUCGGUGGCCGAAUAUUCUCUCGGCUGCCCGAUUCACAGAAAUGAUUGCGCUCUCUUCAUCGGUCGUAAUGAUUGCGUCUGUGGCGGUCUCGGCGACGUUGCGAUAGUGUUCCUCGCUCUCG
rnacentral:misc_RNA from 1 species